rnacentral:rRNA from 1 species
AUUGAACGCUGGCGGCAGGCUUAACACAUGCAAGUCGAACGAGUGGCGGACGGGUGAGUAAUGUCUGGGAAUCUGCCUUAUGGAGGGGGAUAACUACUGGAAACUGUAGCUAAUACCGCAUACCAUAGGAUGUGCCCAAGUGGGAUUAGGUAGUUGGUGAGGUAAAGGCUCACCAAGCCGACGAUCCCUAGCUGGUCUGAGAGGAUGACCAGCCACACUGGGACUGAGACACGGCCCAGACUCCGACGGGAGGCAGCAGGGGGGAAUAUUGCACAAUGGGGGCAACCCUGACGCAGCCAUGCCGCGUGUAUGAAGAAGGCCUUCGGGUUGUAAAGUACUUUCAGUGGGGAGGCGUUAACUGCAGAAGAAGCACCGGCUAACUCCGUGCCAGCAGCCGCGGUAAUAC